GGGUGGAAUGAAUAACAUGUUCUUUUGCUCCUUGCAUGGCAAUGCCACCAUGCGCCCUCGGGCUCUUUUGUUUUUGCUCCUCCUGUUUUUGCUUAUGCUGCCCGC
rfam:Hepatitis E virus 206-EE ORF3 gene, partial cds.